UACGGAGGGUGCAAGCGUUAUCCGGAUUUACUGGGUUUAAAGGGUGCGCAGGCGGAUAUGUAAGUCAGUGGUGAAAUCUCCGGGCUUAACCCGGAAACUGCCGUUGAUACUAUAUAUCUUGAAUGCUGUGGAGGUAAGCAGAAUAUGUCAUGUAGCGGUGAAAUGCUUAGAGAUGACAUAGAAUACCUAUUGCGAAGGCAGCUUACUACGCAGAUAUUGACGCUCAUGCACGAAAGCGUGGGGAGCAAACAGG
rnacentral:rRNA from 1 species